GGAUCUUCGUAUGUCCAAGGGAAAAAAAAAGCUAACUGCUCGAAACACACAGUAGAUGAAAAAGGGACUAGACUCAUCGGAAUUAACAGUCUUAAAUAGGUGUACGGCAAUUGAAAGGAUGGAUCAUUUUACUUGCUGUCUGUAUCUGGAAGAAUAACCUGACUCGGCCCAAUCAGUGGUGGAGCGGUGCGCAAUGUGGAGGUUUCUUGCAGGUCGGCGGGAGCAGCAACGAGAGGUGUAAAUAAAAGUACAGAAGAGACAAGUGGAGCAGGCAUUGAUGGGAGUGGGCCAGUAGUGAGAGUGGGAGUGUCAGGUUUUGGCUCAAAGGAGGAUUCAGCUCUGACCAGGCAUUAGCUCUGGGCAAGUUGUCCAGAUUACCAUUUUUUUCUGGAAGUUAUAGCAGAUGAACUACUUUCAAGCAAGAAAGAAGCAGCAGUAUAUCCACUACUUUUAAAGAAGAGAAUUUUUAAUAUACAGUAUAUUAAAAUAAGCAUUAUUCAUAACAAAAAAAGUAUUUACCAUACACCAUGAAAUGCCUUCAGAAUGAUUCAAGGAAAAUCUCUCUAAUAUAGUUUGCCAUUCUCAAAGAUAUGGUGAUGGAAGGUUCCAUUGUGGUCUUCAAGGAUAAAUAUAUGGUGAGUAAAAAUUUCAAGACCGUAACAUAUAGGAGCAGAAUUAGGCCAUUUGGCCUAAUUGGCCAUUAGGCCCAUUGAAUCUGCUCCACAUCAUGGCUCUCAGCCCAAAUCUGCUGCCUUCUCCCCAUAUCCCUUCAUGCCCUGACCAAUCAACAAUCUUAUCAACCGCUGCCUUAAAUAUACGAGGGCUGAUUGAUACGUUUGUGGCCUAAGGUAGAAGGUGUGAAUUUUAGAAAACCUAGCACAGUUAUUUUUCAACAUAGUCCCCUCCUACAUUUACACACUUAGUCCAGCGGUCGGGAAGCAUACAGAUCUUGGACCUCCAGAAUGUGUCCAAAGAUGGGUGAUUGAUAAGUUUGUAGCCUAAGGUAGAAAUCGAUGAGUUAUACAUCUCUCAUUAGAUGCACAUGCAGGUCAACUCUUUGAGUGAUUAUGCAGAAAGUUUGAAGUUAAUAACUCAUCUCCUACUGUAUGUGUAUAAAUGUAGGAGGGGACUAUGUUGAAAAAUAAAUGUGCUAGGUUUUCUAAAAUUGACUCCUUCUACCUUAGGCCAUGAACAUAUCAAUCACCCCCAGUACAUAAAGACCUGGCUUCCACAGCUGCCUGUGACAAAGAAUUCCACAGAUUCACCACACUUUGGCAAAAGAAGUUCCUUCUCAUCUGCAUUCUAUUCUGAGGCUAUGUCCUCUGGGCUCAGACUCUCCCACCCAUCAUCUCCACUCAUCCACACUAUCGAGGCCUUUCAUCAUUCGAUAGGUUUCAAUCAGGUCAACCCUCAUUCUGAGUUCUAGUGGAUACAGGCCCAGAACCAUCCAACGCUCUUCUUCUGACAAGUGAUUCAACCCUGGAAUCAUUUUUAUGACUCUCCGCUGAACCCUCUCCGGUUUCAGUACAUCCUUUCUAAGAUGAGGGCCCAAAACUGCUCCCAAUAACCGUGAAGCCUCACCAAAGCUUUAUAAAGUCUCAACAUUACAUUCUUGCUUUUAUAUUCUAGUUCUCUUGAAAUAAGCGAAGACUAGAAUGAAUGAAGACAAAAGAGGAAGGACAGGGAUUGGAUUAGCAAGUUCCUCUGGUAAUGAACCUGAGUAAAUAUAGAGUAACAGAACACUACAGCACAGAAGCAGGCCCCUUUUACCUAGUAUCUUCAAAAUGCACCUGGACCAUAGCUCUCCAUACCUGUCUCAUCCAAGUACCUAUCUAACUUUCUCCCUUAAUCCAAGACCUCUAGUUGUAGUCUCACACAACCUCAGUGGAAAAAGACUGCUUGUAUUUACCCUAUCUAUACCUUCUUAAUUUUGUCUACCUCUAUCAACUCUCCCUUUGUUCUCCUACACUCCAGGGAAUAAAGUUGUAACCUAUACAACCUUCCCUAUAACUCAGAUCCUCAAGUCCCAGCUACAUUCUUGUAAAUUUUCUCAGCACUCUUUGAAUCUUAUUGACAUCUUUCCUGUAUAUAGAUUACCAAAACUGCACACUAUACUCCAAAUUAGGCUUCACCAACAUCUUAUACAUCUUCAAUGUAAUAUCACAACUUCUGUACUCAAUACUUCGAUAUUGAAGGCCCAAUGUGCCAAAAACUUUCUUUACCACCCUAUCUAUGUGACUUUGCUUUCAAGAAUUUGUGGAUCUGUAUUCCCAGAUUCCUCAGUUCUGCUGCACUCCUCAGUGCCAUACUGCUCACCAUUUAAAACCAGGUCCUUACCUGGUUUCUCCUUCCAGAGUGCAACACCUCACUCUUGCCUGCAUUAAAUUCCAUCUGCCAGUAUUCAGCCCAUUUAUCCAGCUGGUCCAGUUCCCACUGCAAGGUUUGAUAAGUCUUCCUCACCAUCCACUGUACCCCCUAACUCGAUGUCAUCUGCAAAUUUGCUGAUCAAGUUCACCACAUUAUCAUCAGGACUAUCAACGUAGAUGGCAAACAUCAGACCCAGCACGGAUCCCUGCGGCACUAGGCCUCCAGUCAGAGAGGUAGCCAUCUACUACCACUCUGGCUUCUCUACAAAGCCAAAGUCUAAUCCAGUUUACUACUCCGUCUUUCAUGUGAAGCGACUGAACCCUCUUGACCAACCUCCCAAGUAGGACCUUGUCAAAGGCCUUGCUAACAUCCACUGACAAUACCCACUGACCUUGCCUUCAUCAACUUCCCAAUUAACUUUCUUGAUAAACUUCAUAAGAUCAGAUUCGGCCUACUGCAUAUCCAAAUACAUAUAUCUGGUCUUUUAGCUUACCUUACGAUAAUGUUCCCACUACUAAUGUCUGGCUCAUUGGCCUAUAAUUCCCUGGCUUAUUCUUAGAGCAGUUCUUAAACACGGAACCACAUUAGCUAACUUCAAAUCUUCCGGCACCUCACCCAUUGCUAAGGAUUAUCUCUACGGACUCUGCAACUACUGCACUAGCGUCCCACAGUGUGUGAGGAACUUACAUACUUUAAUUUGCCUUAAGGCAGCAAACAACACCUACUCUAUAAUCUGUACACAUUGCAUGACUCCAUUGCUGCUUUGACCAAUUUCCAUAGACUCUGUGUCCAUCCCCCAAGUAAAUACAGGAGGAAAAAUCCAUUUAAAAUUUUUCCCAUCUCUUUCAGCUCCAUACAUUGAUGUCUUCUCUGAUCUUCCAGAGGAGUAAUUUUGUCCCUAGCUGUCCUUUUGCUCUUAGUACAUCUGUAAAAGCUAUUGGGAUUCUCCUUCACCUUAUCUGCUAGAGCAGGGGUGGGCAAACUUUUUGACUUGUGGGCCACAAAGGGUUCUAAAAUUUGACAGGGGGGCCGGACCAGGAGCAAAUGGACGGAGUGUUUUGGUAAUACACCUCAUAAGAGAAAAUAAAAUAUCAUGGGAUAUGUAGAAAACAUGUGCUUUAAUUUCAAUUGAAAAUGAACAAAUGCAUGACAACAAAAUAUCUGUCUUUGAAGUCCCAUGGUAUUUAGCUAUUUAUUGAAAUGACUUUUAAAACACUGAAAAUUAAAUGAAUAAAAUACAGCUUUUUUUAAUAGUAACAGUUAUUAUUUUAAAGCACCGAAAAUUCUGUUAUCCUUCAAGAUAUUAUCAUCAUCACUCUCCUCCUGACUGUCUUUAUUUCAAAAACGGUAGGAGAUGCAGGUCUACUUGUCCUGCUCCUUCUUAUUCAAUUGUCCCCUGUGCCAAAACUCAACAACGACCAGCACAAGGACAGAAGUGACAGCGCGCCAGUAUGCAGAGCGCGUUAUUUGAUCUGGAGCGCAUUUUUUAUUUUGAGAACGUACGUGCACCUGCGCACUGCUCAUGUCCAUCACUUAACAGAAAUGACAUGUAACAUGUAAGGCUUAUUGAAAAAAAUAUUUUCAAAUGCAUUUUUUACAUAACACAACGAAGAAACUUAUUUUUAAUUUCAGUGGGAACAGUGUUGUUGGUCUCCCUUUUUAGCCAGCGCAUCAAAGUCUGGAUUUAGUUUUGUUGUGGCGAUUCUCAGGAUGGAUCUGAGGUGUUGGUCAGUUAACUUGGAUCUGUGGCUGGCUUUGUUGAUGUUCAUGACGCUGAACGCCUGUUCACACAAAUAGGUCGAGCCGAACAAAGAGUAAAGCGCAAAUAUGGAGUAAUACGCUGCACCUCAACAAAGGUCAAUGUAUAUAGAGUGCGUCAUCUAUUUGGAAAACGCCAGAAUUGCGGGAAAAAAACGUUAACAAGGUUUAUUAAUAUAAUUUCAUCAAGUUCUGCGGGCCGGAUUAAAAAGCUUAAUGGGCCGCAAGUGGCCCCCAGGCCGUAUUUUGCCCAUGCCUGUGCUAGAACUACCUUAUGCCUUCAUUUAGUCCUCCUGAUUUCCUGAAGUGUUCUCUAGCAUUUCUUAUACUUCUCAAGUAUCUCACUUGUCCCUUCCUAGGAUGUUAGUGUAGGAAAGUGACUGAGAAAAUGAUCAGCCAUAACUGUGAGGAAACAGAUCAGCAUAACUUUAUUUUAUUUAUUUAGAAAUAACAGUGCAGAACAACCCCAUCUGACCCAAAGAUCUGCACUGCCGAGCAACUCACAUUUUUAACCUGAGCCUAAUCUCAGGGCAAUUUACAAUGACCGGUUAACCCACGAACACAGUCUUUGGACUGUGGGAGGAAACCGAAGCAUCCGGAUGAAAUCAACACGUUUCGCGAGGAGAAAGUACAAACCUUACAGAUGGUGCCAGAAAUGAUAUGAAACACCCCAAACAAAUAAUAUUGUGCUGCUAUGCCACCAUGGCACCCUUAGCAGGCAGAAGGCCAAAUAACCUGCUCCUGCUUUUAUUCCUUAGGUUUUAUAGCAGUGGUUGCUAAAUUUUUUGGGGUUACUGCCCCUUUGCUCCCAGACCACAUCUCCAGAGAUCCCUCUUGCUUUCUGGCCUUUACAUAAAAACUGGAAAGAAAUUUGAUUUAUGAUGCACAGUGAAAGAAAAUAGAAACUGUAAAUUUAAAGCAGUGAAAAAUAAUUGCAUAAAUAGUGAAAUCUAUUUAAAGCUACAAAUAAAAUUAUUUCUGUUUAACUUCAAUAAAAGCAACUUUCAUCAAUAAUUUUACAGCAUACCUUACUAGUCGAACUAUUCACUACGACAUUGUUUUUUCACCUUUCGAUAAGAUGGAUGGACUUGGUACUGUGAUUUCAGCUUUUAAACAUCAGGCUGAAUGUUACUCAGAAGGAAUCAUGGAUCCCCACGACCUGUGAUUUGCAGCUGUUUCAAUGCUUUGAAACAAGUUGGAUGACUGCACUGAAACAGUACUGAACUAAGUAUGAUGUUGGAAAAGAAAUAAA